ensembl:lncRNA
GUUGCGGAGUCAUUGCUAUACGCUGCAUACCAGGGACUUUCACAGAGAGGAGACAUAGAAGACGACAUGGCUGUCAACCAUGGAAACUUCCUUGAACUUUUACAGGUCAUAGGCAAAUUCUACAAAACAGUUUCACAGAAAAUCUCAGAUAAUACUCGAGAUGCUAAGUACAUGCAUCAUGAUAUACAGAAUGAAAUACUGGGCAAACCCUCGACUCAGCAACCUUGCCUGCCUGUCCAUACACGCAGAAAGAACCAAGGCCCUGGAUGUCCAGAAGAUUAAAGACUCAUUUGCACUGACCCACAACAGACGCAUCGUUCUUCUAUAAAACAACACUUGCUGAGGGGGGCUGCUCCCAGAGUGCGGAUCAGAUCAAGACUCCCUGACCAACUGUACCCACCGCUAACCUGCAACAAGCUGCAUCUGUUCCCCCGGACACAAAGGGUGUUGCCAACCAAUGACUUUCGCACGAUAUACCUGUGGAGUCCAGAGAAACUCCCCAGUCUGGCCCAGAACACAGAGCUGUUGUUCCAAAGAAAAGGAGAGCUAUUGUAUGUACCCACUGCAUUCCUGGGUGAUAUUAUUUUGAGAGUGGGACAGAGCUUGUAAAGUGUUUUUACUCAUGCUUUUAAAAAUGUACCUCUGCUUUUUCCCCCCCAUCUCUGUGUUUCUGUACAUGAUUUUUAUAAUCGUUAUUAUCCUUCCCUGUUCACAACAUAGGACUGAGCCACUGAUGUUACCUGCAUGAUCAGAUGACAGGCAGACAGGUUCUCAUGCAUGUUGACUGGCAACAGGUGUUUUUAUAGCAUGACAAGUCUACUGCAGAACUAUACUGAACAAAAAUAUAAACGCAACCAUUUCAAAGAUUUUACUGAGUUACAGUUCAUGUGAGGAAAUCAGUCAGAUAAUCUUGGCAAAGGAGAAAUGCUCACUAACAGGGAUGUAAACAAAUCUGUGCACAACAUUUGAGAGAAAUAAGCUUUCUGCGCAUGGACAAUUUCUGGGAUCUUUUAUUUCAGCUCAUGAAACAUGGGACCAACACAUGUUGUGUUUAUAUUUUUGUUCAGUGUAUGUGGUACCACCCAUUGUGGAAUAGUUUCCAUACAGCAGAUAAUGCAGCUAAUACUUCACGAGAGAUGGACUUACAUGAAGUGCUGUUCCUCAAACUAAGAAUAGGUCUCAUUUAACCCAGUUUUACUCUUGUUUAAACAACAUUCUAACCUGAUAGGGCAAUAUGAUCCUGUUGAUAAAGACUCUUUUAUGGGGAGUUUCAGCCUGGAUUUGAACUGGUCAAAACUUUAUCUAUUUAAGUUAAGACCAUGGGAGAUAUGAGCUCAGUUUAAGAGCACGGAAUAGAUAUGCACGAAUAGAAAGCCAAAUAUAUGUUUUUUACUGUGUAGAUACAACCAACCCCCUUUGGAUCACCCUUCCAUGGAUCUUUUCUUCAUUCAUAUUGCGGUUGAUUUUUCAAGCAAUUGUAUUGUGUACAGAGAGAACUUGAAUGUAAAUAUUAAUCCAGUCAUCUCACUUCAUUAAAUGUCACUCACCAUAAGGUCAUGUUAAAUUUUCAUAACCUAUUGGACAUACAAAAGUGGGAUUUUGUUAUUCACUCAAGAAUACUCAUUUUACUAAAAUGUUUGUGCAUUUUACAAUUGAAUGUAUGUACAAGAAACAGCUUGCCCUGGCAACCUUCAGGGUGGCAUUGAAAAGUCUGACAUGGAAUAUAUACCCUAAUCUGUGAUCUGUGUAAGACGCAAUAUCUAAUGAGAAAUUGUCAGUUGUAACCCAUUAGGUUGAGGCUUUCAGCCCGAGAUGGUUGGCCAUGGAAUAAAAAAUAAGUUGGUGUGCUUUUGCACCCCUUUUAGGUCUUCAUAAAUAUCCAUCCCAUGUCCAGUCAUACUCGUGGUCUCAGCGUGUGUCCGUCAACGUCAGUCCAUCUCAGUUGCGGUGUUCAAAUCGAGGUCCUCACGUGUCUGUGAAUCACAACAUUAAAGACGAUGAGUUAUGACAGCAUUUCCACAAAUUGAGCCAUAGACAAUACAACUUAAGCAUUGUUUUACACUGUCUACAGUGUGUGAAUGACAG